rnacentral:rRNA from 1 species
AGAGUUUGAUCCUGGCUCAGGACGAACGCUGGCGGCGUGCCUAACACAUGCAAGUCGAGCGAUGAAAUCCCUUCGGGGAUGGAUUAGCGGCGGACGGGUGAGUAACACGUGGGUAACCUGCCUCAAAGAGGGGGAUAGCCUCCCGAAAGGGAGAUUAAUACCGCAUAACAUUAGUUUUUCGCAUGAAGAACUAAUUAAAGGAGCAAUCCGCUUUGAGAUGGACCCGCGGCGCAUUAGCUAGUUGGUGAGGUAAAGGCUCACCAAGGCGACGAUGCGUAGCCGACCUGAGAGGGUGAUCGGCCACAUUGGAACUGAGACACGGUCCAGACUCCUACGGGAGGCAGCAGUGGGGAAUAUUGCACAAUGGGCGAAAGCCUGAUGCAGCAACGCCGCGUGAGUGAAGAAGGCCUUCGGGUCGUAAAGCUCUGUCGUUUGGGACGAACGUGCUGUGUGUGAAUAAUGCGCAGUAAUGACGGUACCAAAGGAGGAAGCCACGGCUAACUACGUGCCAGCAGCCGCGGUAAUACGUAGGUGGCGAGCGUUGUCCGGAAUUAUUGGGCGUAAAGGGCGUGUAGGUGGAUUCUUAAGUCGUGUGUCUAAGUGCGGAGCUCAACUCCGUAUGGGCGCAGGAGACUGGGAAUCUUGAGUGCAGGAGAGGAAAGUGGAAUUCCCAGUGUAGCGGUGAAAUGCGUACAUAUUGGGAGGAACACCAGUGGCGAAGGCGACUUUCUGGACUGUGUCUGACACUGAGGCGCGAAAGCUAGGGGAGCGAACGGGAUUAGAUACCCCGGUAGUCCUAG